rnacentral:rRNA from 1 species
UGGGGAAUUUUCCACAAUGGGCGAAAGCCUGAUGGAGCAAUACCGCGUGAAGGAUGAAGGAUCGUGGUCCGUAAACUUCUUUUCUUAACGAAGAGAAUCUGACGGUAGUUAAGGAAUAAGCACCGGCUAACUCCGUGCCAGCAGCCGCGGUAAUACGGGGGGUGCAAGCGUUGUCCGGAAUGAUUGGGCGUAAAGCAUCUGUAGGUGGUUUUUAAAGUCGACUGUUAAAGCCCAGGGCUCAACUUUGGAUAAGCGGUCGAGUACUUAAGGACUUGAGUAUGGUAGGGGUAGAGGGAAUUCCUAGUGGAGCGGUGAAAUGCACAGAGAUUAGGAAGAACACCGAGGGCGAAAGCACUCUACUGGGCCAUGACUGACACUGAGAGAUGAAAGUUGGGGGAGCGAAAAGG